GUGCAGCAGUCGCGAAAACUCUGCAAUACGCGAAAGCGUGACAGGGCUACCCCGAGUGUCGUCCGCUGAGGACGACUUUUCUACGCUGUAAGGAGGCGGGGGAAUAAGGAGAGGGCAAGUCUGGUGUCAGCCGCCGCGGUAAUACCAGCUCUCCGAGUGGUAGGGACGUUUAUUGGGCUUAAAGCGUCCGUAGCCGGCUCAACAAGUCUCCCGUUAAAUCCAACGAUUCAAUCGUUGGACUGCGGGAGAUACUGCUAGGCUAGGAGGCGAGAGAGGCCGACGGUAUUCCCGGAGUAGGGGUAAAAUCUUAUAAUUCCGGGACGACCACCAGUGGCGUAGGCUGUCGGCUAGAACGCGCUCGACAGUGAGGGACGAAAGCUGGGGUAGCGAACCGGAUUAGAUACCCGCGGAGUCC
rnacentral:rRNA from 1 species